rnacentral:rRNA from 1 species
UACGAGGGGGGGCAAGCGUUGUUCGGAAUUAUUGGGCGUAAAGGGAGCGUAGGCGGUUUUGUAAGUCGUGUGUGAAAUCUUCGGGCUCAACCCGAAGUCUGCACACGAAACUGCAGGGCUUGAGUAUGGGAGAGGUGAGUGGAAUUCCUGGUGUAGCGGUGAAAUGCGUAGAUAUCAGGAGGAACACCUGUGGCGAAAGCGGCUCACUGGACCAUUACUGACGCUGAGGCUCGAAAGCUAGGGGAGCAAACAGG